rnacentral:rRNA from 1 species
CCUACGGGGUGCAGCAGUGGGGAAUAUUGGACAAUGGGCGAAAGCCUGAUCCAGCCAUGCCGCGUGUGUGAAGAAGGCCUUCGGGUUGUAAAGCACUUUCAGUGGGGAAGAAAGCCUUGGGGCUAAUACCCUCGAGGAAGGACAUCACCCACAGAAGAAGCACCGGCUAACUCCGUGCCAGCAGCCGCGGUAAUCCGGAGGGUGCGAGCGUUAAUCGGAAUUACUGGGCGUAAAGCGCGCGUAGGCGGUCUGAUAAGCCGGUUGUGAAAGCCCCGGGCUCAACCUGGGAACGGCAUCCGGAACUGUCAGGCUAGAGUGCAGGAGAGGAAGGUAGAAUUCCCGGUGUAGCGGUGAAAUGCGUAGAGAUCGGGAGGAAUACCAGUGGCGAAGGCGGCCUUCUGGACUGACACUGACGCUGAGGUGCGAAAGCGUGGGUAGCAAACAGGAUUAGAUACCCUGGUAGUC